rnacentral:rRNA from 1 species
UACGAAGGGGGCUAGCGUUGCUCGGAAUCACUGGGCGUAAAGCGUGCGCAGGCGGUUUUGUAAGUCUGUCGUGAAAUCCCCGGGCUCAACCUGGGAAUUGCGAUGGAGACUGCAAGGCUAGAAUCUGGCAGAGGGGGGUAGAAUUCCACGUGUAGCAGUGAAAUGCGUAGAGAUGUGGAGGAACACCGAUGGCGAAGGCAGCCCCCUGGGUCAAGAUUGACGCUCAUGCACGAAAGCGUGGGGAGCAAACAGG